rnacentral:lncRNA from 1 species
AUUAAAAAGGAUCAGACGAUUGUGUAAGGGACGAAACCUCUUGAGACAAAGUCCCAAAAAGGGGUGUUCUUUUAUUGGCGAUGAACUUUACAAUUGGAAAUGGAAAACAACGUGCCUCCAAGGGGCGCAAGCACAUGAGUUACUGAAAGAAAAUUGUUUAAGUCUAAAAAACUAAGGAAAUGAAAAUUACAUGUUCUCUGUUCGAGAGUUUUUGGAUUCGGUCCUUUGCUUCUAUGUUCUUUCUCCCUUUUAUACUUCAUAGACGAUCUUUUUGUGAUUAAC